rnacentral:rRNA from 1 species
UGAGGAAUAUUGGUCAAUGGGCGAGAGCCUGAACCAGCCAAGUAGCGUGAGGGAUGACUGCCCUAUGGGUUGUAAACCUCUUUUGCAGGGGGGUAAAGUGGUCCACGUGUGGACCAUUGCAAGUACCCUGCGAAUAAGGAUCGGCUAACUCCGUGCCAGCAGCCGCGGUAAUACGGAGGAUCCGAGCGUUAUCCGGAUUUAUUGGGUUUAAAGGGAGCGUAGGCGGGGGUUUAAGUCAGCUGUGAAAUGCCGUGGCCCAACCAUGGAACUGCAGUUGAAACUGGACCUCUUGAGAGUACAUAAGGAAGGCGGAAUUCGUGGUGUAGCGGUGAAAUGCAUAGAUAUCACGAAGAACUCCGAUUGCGAAGGCAGCUUUCCGGGGUACAUCUGACGCUGAAGCUCGAAAGUGCGGGAAUCAAACA